rnacentral:rRNA from 1 species
AUUGAACGCUGGCGGCAUGCCUAACACAUGCAAGUCGAACGGUUUAUGGAGCUUGCUUCAUAGAUAGUGGCGGACGGGUGAGUAAUAUGUAGGAAUCUGCCUUGAGGAGGGGGAUAACUUGGGGAAACUCAAGCUAAUACCGCGUAAGUCGGAGACGAGAAAGCAGGGGACCGAAGGGCCUUGCGCCUUAAGAUGAGCCUACAUCGGAUUAGCUAGUUGGUGGGGUAAAGGCCUACCAAGGCGAUGAUCCGUGGCUGGUCUGAGAGGAUGACCAGCCACACUGGGACUGAGACACGGCGCAGACUCCUACGGGAGGCAGCAGUGGGGAAUAUUGGACAAUGGGCGAAAGCCUGAUCCAGCGAUGCCGCGUGAGUGAUGAAGGCCUUAGGGUUGUAAAGCUCUUUUACCAGGGAUGAUAAUGACAGUACCUGGAGAAUAAGCUCCGGCUAACUCCGUGCCAGCCGCCGCGGUAA